AUUGAACGCUGGCGGCAUGCCUUACACAUGCAAGUCGAACGGCAGCACGGGGGCAACCCUGGUGGCGAGUGGCGAACGGGUGAGUAAUACAUCGGAACGUGUCCUGUCGUGGGGGAUAACCAGUCGAAAGACUGGCUAAUACCGCAUGAGAUCGAGAGAUGAAAGCAGGGGACCGCAAGGCCUUGCGCGAUUGGAGCGGCCUAUGUCGGAUUAGCUAGUUGGCGGGGUAAAAGCCCACCAAGGCGACGAUCCGUAGCUGGUUUGAGAGGACGACCAGCCACACUGGGACUGAGACACGGCCCAGACUCCUACGGGAGGCAGCAGUGGGGAAUUUUGGACAAUGGGGGCAACCCUGAUCCAGCCAUGCCGCGUGUGUGAAGAAGGCCUUCGGGUUGUAAAGCACUUUCGGACGGAACGAGAUCGCACGGGUGAAUAUCCCGGGUGGAUGACGGUACUGUAAGAAGAAGCACCGGCUAACUACGUGCCAGCAGCCGCAGUAA
rnacentral:rRNA from 1 species